GACGAACGCUGGCGGCGUGCCUAAUACAUGCAAGUCGAACGGUUUAGUUCCAAGAGUCUUGCCUUUUGGAACUAGACAGUGGCGGACGAGUGAUUAACACGUAGGCAACCUACCUGGCAAACCGUGAUAACCUCGGGAAACCUAAGCUAAACCAGGAUAAGCUCCUUGUUGGCGUGAAGGGGGAGUGAAAAGGUGGGACCGGAAUAGAGAUGUGCCUGCGGGGCAUUAGGUAGUAGGUAAGGUAACGGCUUACCUGGGAGAUGAUGCGUAUCCGACCGUCGAGGAGGCACGGCGACACUGUGACCGGCCUCAGGCGCAGACACCUACGGCCCGCAGUCGUACGGAAUCCUGGGGUAGGGGAGAAAGCCUGACCGAGCAAAGCCGCGUGAGUCAGGACGGCCUUCGGGUUGUAAACCUUUGUUGUUUGGGCAGCAGGGACAGGGUAGGACCCUUUGGUGACGGUAAUAAACGAGAAAGCCCCGGCUAACUACGUG
rnacentral:rRNA from 1 species